rnacentral:misc_RNA from 1 species
GAUGAAGAACGCAGCGAAAUGCGAUAAGUAAUGUGAAUUGCAGAAUUCAGUGAAUCAUCGAAUCUUUGAACGCACAUUGCGCCCCCUGGUAUUCCGGGGGGCAUGCCUGUCCGAGCGUCAUUACAACCCUCAAGCUCAGCUUGGUAUUGGGCCCCGCCGACCCGGCGGGCCCUAAAGUCAGUGGCGGUGCCGUCCGGCUCCGAGCGUAGUAAUUCUUCUCGCUCUGGAGGUCCGGUCGUGUGCUCGCCAGCAACCCCUAAUUUUUUUCAGGUUGACCUCGGAUCAGGUAGGGAUACCCGCUGAACUUAAGCAUAUCAAUAAGCGGAGGA